UACGAAGGGAGCUAGCGUUGUUCGGAAUCACUGGGCGUAAAGCGCACGUAGGCGGAUUUGUCAGUCAGGGGUGAAAUCCCGGGGCUCAACCUCGGAACUGCCUUUGAUACAGCAAGGCUAGAGUCCGGAAGAGGAGAGUGGAAUUCCCGGUGUAGCGGUGAAAUGCGCAGAUAUCGGGAAGAACACCCGUGGCGAAGGCGGCUCUCUGGGACGGUACUGACGCUGAGACGCGAAAGCGUGGGGAGCGAACAGG
rnacentral:rRNA from 1 species